rnacentral:pre_miRNA from 1 species
UAAGUACUCCCUUCGUUCGAAAAUACUUGUCAUCAAAAUGGAUAAAAAAAGAUGUAUCUAGAUACAUCCCUGUUUAUCCAUUUUAAUGACAAGUAUUUCCGGACGGAGGGAGUACCAA